rnacentral:rRNA from 1 species
GACGAACGCUGGCGGCGUGCUUAACACAUGCAAGUCGAACGGAAAGGCCCUGCUUUUGUGGGGUGCUCGAGUGGCGAACGGGUGAGUAACACGUGAGUAACCUGCCCUUGACUUUGGGAUAACUUCAGGAAACUGGGGCUAAUACCGGAUAGGAGCUCCUGCUGCAUGGUGGGGGUUGGAAAGUUUCGGCGGUUGGGGAUGGACUCGCGGCUUAUCAGCUUGUUGGUGGGGUAGUGGCUUACCAAGGCUUUGACGGGUAGCCGGCCUGAGAGGGUGACCGGCCACCUUGGGACUGAGAUACGGCCCAGACUCCUACGGGAGGCAGCAGGGGGGAGUAUUGCACAAUGGGCGCACGCCUGAUGCAGCAACGCCGCGUGCGGGAUGACGGCCUUCGGGUUGUAAACUGCUUUCGCCUGUGACGAAGCGUGAGUGACGGUAAUGGGUAAAGAAGCACCGGCUAACUACGUG